GGGGUCAUAGCUCAGAUGGGAGAGCACCUGCUUUGCAAGCAGGGGGUCGGCGGUUCGAUCCCGCCUGGCUCCACCA
rnacentral:tRNA from 1 species